rnacentral:rRNA from 1 species
ACCCAAUUUUUUACAGGUUGACCUCGGAUCAGGUAGGGAUACCCGCUGAACUUAAGCAUAUCAAUAAGCGGAGGAAAAGAAACCAACAGGGAUUACCUCAGUAACGGCGAGUGAAGCGGUAACAGCUCAAAUUUGAAAGCUAGCUCUUUUAGGGUUCGCAUUGUAAUUUGUAGAAGAUGCUUCGGGUGUGGCCCCGGUCUAAGUUCCUUGGAACAGGACGUCAUAGAGGGUGAGAAUCCCGUAUGUGACUGGGUGCCUUCGCUCAUGUGAAGCUCUUUCGACGAGUCGAGUUGUUUGGGAAUGCAGCUCAAAAUGGGUGGUAAAUUUCAUCUAAAGCUAAAUAUUGGCCAGAGACCGAUAGCGCACAAGUAGAGUGAUCGAAAGAUGAAAAGCACUUUGGAAAGAGAGUUAAACAGUACGUGAAAUUGUUGAAAGGGAAGCGCUUGCAACCAGACUUGAGCGCUGAUGAUCAUCCGGGCUUCUGCCCGGUGCACUCGUCUGCGCUCAGGCCAGCAUCGGUUUCGGUGGUGGGAUAAAGGCCUUGGGAAUGUAGCUCCUCUCGGGGAGUGUUAUAGCCCUCGGUGCAAUGCCGCCUACCGGGACCGAGGACCGCGCUUCGGCUAGGAUGCUGGCGUAAUGGUUGUAAGCGACCCGUCUUGAAACACGGACCAAGGAGUCUAACAUCUAUGCGAGUGUUUGGGUGUCAAACCCAUACGCGUAAUGAAAGUGAACGGAGGUGAGAACCCUUAAGGGCGCAUCAUCGACCGGUCCUGAUGUCUUCGGAUGGAUCUGAGUAAGAGCAUAGCUGUUGGGACCCGAAAGAUGGUGAACUAUGCGUGAAUAGGGUGAAGCCAGAGGAAACUCUGGUGGAGGCUCGCAGCGGUUCUGACGUGCAAAUCGAUCGUCAAAUUUGCGUAUAGGGGCGAAAGACUAAUCGAACCAUCUAGUAGCUGGUUCCU